CAGUGUGAGAAUGCUUGGUGGGGCAGCCAUACCCGCAAGAGCACUGUCACUCACAGAGAUGGACUUGGAGUACUCCUGAGCGAGACGCCUGCUGCCCAUUUGGAGGCUGCAAAUCUCUGCCUGACUCUGCUCCCUACAGUGUGGAUGGUGAGUCGCGGUAUCCGGCAGGAGGACUGGUGUGACGUACUUAAGGCUUUUCAGCUCACAGGGAAAUUCAGUGAGACUUCCGGAAGCUUUCUCUGUUGGUUCCAAGUUCCGGCCUCUGCCUUGUAUUGUGAAAAAGAAGAAAUCAGUAGAAGGAGGGUCAGAUUGGAGGGGGUUCUCUGGCCUCUGCUGCAGCCACCGCCCCACAUUCAUCCUAACAACCUUGGGCAGAAAACCAGAAAAAUACAGUUACCAGAAAAGGUAAAAAGCAACUCAGACACAGGGGGAAGAUAGAAUCUCCUAGAGCUCCAUGAGGCGUGAGAACCUUGCUUCUGGGGCAGCAUUGCUGAGGCGGGGCAAUGACCAGACGUUGGACCUUCAUGGAGAGACUCGGUCAAAGGUUGAACCUUUUGAGAGGAGCUUGAACUGAUAAUUCUGACUUGCUGAAAAGCACUGCCCUAAGUCUUUCAGGCAUUUCUGGAGUUAAUGGACUGCGUAUUCCCCAUUUUCCAGCAACAAUUUGGCAUGUGUGGAGUUAAUGGAAUGCUUAUUGCCCUUUUUCCAAGGAUCGUACCGGCAUGUGUGGAGUUAAUGGA